rnacentral:rRNA from 1 species
UUUUUUUUCUGGGGGCACGCGGACGGAAAGUUGAAGAAGAACUUUGAAGAGAGAGUUCAAAACGCGCGUGAAACCGCUUAGAAGAAAACUGGAGGGAGCCGUCGAGGAGCCUUCGGGAAUCAGUCGUACGAUUCGCGAAAGUGCCUUAGUACCAGAACGCAAGUCUGCCCAGGGUUCCAUUAGUAGCGAUCGAAUGAUGCAUUUCUCGAAGGUAAGCACUGCGAGCGAUACGAAAGGCUGACGAAGCGAUUGGAUUGAGUUCGAUUCCCUUCGGGGAGUCGUUUCCCGUCUCUGUGCUUGAGUCGUCAGCCCGCGGUAUGUAUCGAGUCCCUUAACAGAUACGCCGGCGUAAAUCGCUCGCUGGAGUAGCGGAUAGUCGAUUAACUAGUUGGUACCUGCUUGCAGGAACUAGCGAACUUGGUCGACUCAGAAGUUACUGGCGACGCAAAGGCGUAUAGGCGUCAGCAGUGUCAGUGUCGGCCACCCAUCCGACCCGUCUUGAAACACGGACCAAGGAGUUUAACAUAUGCGCGAGCUAAUGGGUGGAAAACCCAAAGGCGAAAUAAAAGUAAACGCUGUCUCGGACAGCUUAGAUACGAUCCUAGACUCGCUCUAGGCGCAGUAUCGUCCCGUCUCGACCGCAUGUCGGUAGGGCGGAGAAAGAGUGCAUACGUUGGGACCCGAAAGAUGGUGAACUAUGCCUGAGCAGAGCGAAGCCAGAGGAAACUCUGGGGAGGUUCGAGCGGCUCCCACGUCAAAUCAGCCGUCAGACGCCCGUAUAUGUACAACGACAGUGCCCG